rnacentral:rRNA from 1 species
GUUUACCAAAAACAUGGCUUCUUGUGAUAAAAUAAAUAAGGAGUCGGACCUGCCCAGUGAAUUUUUUAACGGCCGCGGUACUCUGACCGUGCAAAGGUAGCAUAAUCAUUUGCCUUAUAAUUGAAGGCUAGUAUGAAUGGUUUGACAAGAAUAUAGCUGUCUCUUUAUAAUUUUAUAGAAUUUUAUUUUAAAGUGAAGAAGCUUUAAUACAAUUAAAAGACAAGAAGACCCUAUCGAGCUUUAAAAAAAUCUUUAGAAACUAAUUAAUAAUUGAUUUUUAAAAAAUUAGCUAUUGAAUAUUUUGGUUGGGGCGACUAAGGAACAAACAAAGCUUCCUCUAAUAUAAAUAACGUUCAUGUGUUGAUCCAAAAUUUUUGAUUAAAGAAAUUAGUUACCGUAGGGAUAACAGCAUUAUCUUUUUUGAGAGCUCUUAUCGAAAAAAAGGUUUGUGACCUCGAUGUUGGACCAGAAUAUCCUAAAGAUGCAGAAGUCUUUAAGGGUUGGUCUGUUCGACCAUUAAAAUUCUACGUGAUCUGAGUUCAGACCGG